rnacentral:rRNA from 1 species
UACGAGUGCCCCGAGCGUUAUCCGGAAUCAUUGGGCGUAAAGGGUGUGUAGGUGGUCAGAUUAGUCUUGUGUUAAAUUCUUCGGCUUAACCGGGGGCAUGCAUAGGAAACGGUCUGACUUGAGGGUGCGAGAGGUCUGUGGAACUCAUGGUGUAGGGGUGAAAUCCGUUGAUAUCAUGGGGAACACCAAAAGCGAAGGCAGCAGACUGGCGCAUUCCUGACACUGAAACACUAAAGCGUGGGUAGCGAAUGGG